rnacentral:lncRNA from 1 species
GUCUUGAGUAACACAAAAGCCUUUUAAAGCAAUUUUCUUGUGUCUUUCUUCAUUUCCUUAGCAAUCUAGUAUUAAAAGGCUUACUUGAGCUUGCAAUAUCCUGAAAGAUUCAUGAGCGAGUUUUCAAGUGUCACGUGAUGUGCUUAGUAGAAGUUUUAAGGCCAUAACACUAAGCUCAAAAGUCAUAUCUAAAAUAACAUGUAUUGAGAUUAAGAUUCAUAUCAUGCAAAUUUGCAUACUUGAAAGCCAUAGAGGUUUAAAUGAAUAUAGAAAUCAUGCUAAAUCACUACAAUGAGGUUUUAACGGCUAAAAUAAAUAAAAGGAAACAUAAUCUUGUGAGAAAAAUCGUAGUUCUUAUGAAAACCUUAACUUUUCUUGCACACAAUUUUCCAAAAUUCUUGAAUUUAAAAUAUAUUAGGUAUGAGAGUGAAGGGAUACUCUCAUUGAAGUGUUACAUACCUGAGAGAAUGAGAUUUGAAAGAAUAACUUGCUUGAAAGACUUGAAACCCUAACUUUGCUUUUCUUGUAGUUUAUUUUUUAUAUGUUUAGGUGGUUGAGGGCACAAAAGAGAAAGGAAACUGAG